UACGGGGGGGGGCAAGCGUUGUUCGGAAUUACUGGGCGUAAAGGGCUCGUAGGCGGCCAACUAAGUCAGACGUGAAAUCCCUCGGCUUAACCGGGGAACUGCGUCUGAUACUGGAUGGCUAGAGAUUGGGAGAGGGAUGCGGAAUUCCAGGUGUAGCGGUGAAAUGCGUAGAUAUCUGGAGGAACACCGGUGGCGAAGGCGGCGUUCUGGACUGCAACUGACACUGAGAGACGAAAGCCAGGGGAGCAAACGGG
rnacentral:rRNA from 1 species